AGAAUUUGUCUCAGUGCAAAGAUUUAGUUGGAAUAGGGUUGAUUUAACUGAACGUUCGUACAAAUUAGUGCGUUGCAGAAUGAUUUUUGGCACCAAAUUUUUAUGAUCUUAUAUAUGCGUCAUUUAGUGGUGUUAUGUUUGAAUAAUUCUUGUUAGAUAUUUACUAAGAUUAAGAGUUUGUAAGACAUGGUUUAUGAAAUAUAAUGUAAAAUUGAGUAUUUUCGCAUUACGGGGUCAGAAAAAUGCUACAUAUACAGCCAUGGACAAAGAAAUAGCACACUUUCGAUUAUUCUAACAAAAAUUGAAUUUAUUUGUUAACUAUGAACUCGAAUAUUAUAAUUUUUACUUCAGGACUUGAAUUAGCUUAUGGGUAUUCAUAACAUUAAUAAUUAGAAAGUAUUUCAUUUCAAUUAAAUUUUUUUAAAUUAUAAUUUGUAGAUUAUAAUUUGUAAAUUCAGUAUAGCCAAGUUAAUACAUUGUUAGUUGACCACGAUUUUUCUUAGUUUUUUGGCUCUUUUUGGCAAACUUUCAACUAACGUAUGGCAUCUACUUUGUGGAGUAGGAUACCAUCCUUCUUUGAUUUCAGCCCAAAGAUUGUUUGAACUUUUGAGUUUCGUUUGCACAAUCGUCACCUUCAAAUCUUCCAUAGAUGUUAAGACCCUGACUUUGAGUCAUGUUGGUCAGGUGCAAACAUCGUUUUUUUUUUUCGUGCGAAAACCAAACUUGUUCUAUUUAUGAUGCAUUUUUGGGGUCAUUGUCAUGCUUGAAUAUCCAAUUUACUUGCGAGAAAUAUGGUUCUAUGAUAUUCUUAAGUAUAUUAAGAUGGGAGAAUUCAUUAAUUCUGCCGUCCACCUAACCAAUGGGCCAUUCCCAUGGUAGGAAGGUUUCAUCGUUUUGAGAGCAUACUUAAAGCUGUACUUUGUACAACUUUAACUCAAAAAUGCAUAUUUUUGUUCAGAUGUUUUGUUAGCAAAUGUUAUGUGAUCUUUGAGGUUUAUAUUAUAACAUUGGAUUUUUUCUUGCUAACUUGUCUAUACAACUCAACAUCAUUAAGUCUUCUUCUUAUAAGUCUGCUUGACACUUUUUUCACCGAAUUUUUUAUUAACUUUGGCCAUAAUCGUGCGAAAUGACUUUAAAGGUCCACAUUGGCAUUUCUUUCUGAUCGCUCUAUCCACUCGUAUGAAAGUUUUAUGGGGAAGAAGUUCGCGUAAUUUAGUUUCAGAGUUUAAAUUUCUAUUUGCUCUUACUAAAUAAAUUGCUUUAUCCACAAUUUACUCGAAAAAUUUAGAGUUUAAGCUAAUUGAGAAGGAUUUUUCCCUUGACUGUCAACCUCGAACAUGCUUUUUCUGUGUCCACAAGCGAAAUAGUAUAUAAUAUAAUAAAUAUUGAAAAUAACGCUACUUUUAAGACUUUAUUGACUCGAUCACUUUAUUUUGACAAUAUACCCAAAGAAAAAAAUGUAUAAAAAGCAUUUCACAUAUCUGAAAUUCGAAUUGCAUGAUUUUUCUCAAUAGUGUGCUAUUUCUCUGUCCAUAGCUGUAUUUUACAUUUACUCUUGGAAUUUAACCAAAAUCGAUUUAAAUAACUUGAUAUAAAUUUAAUAUUAAAAUUCACUUAACAAACUUUCUGUGCACUAAAACUCAUUUUUUUUAUUCAAAAACGCAAACAAAAAUUAAAAAUUUCCGUAUUCUUUUCCACAUCACCCAAAUGGGGUAGAAUACAAGAUGCGUUUUUUUUAUAGAGGUUUCCCCAGUAGGCCUAAUCCUCUUUUUAUUAUAUCACUUGUCACUUAACACUUAUCACUGAACUGACUUACAUAAAUAAUGUUUUUUUUUUCCGAAUUUCACGAUAUAUUAAAAUAAAAAUGGUUGAGAAAAAAAUUUAAACAAUUUCAAACCUGAUUCAGAAAUUUCUAUUCAAUUUUCCAUUCCAUUUGGUAGCCAAACGAUAUGAAUAUUUUCGUUCAACUCUUAAAUAUUCUUAUUUCUUUCUAGUUUGAAAUCGUUUUAAAUAUUUUCCUCAGCUAUUUAUGUAGAAAAGAUUCUUCCCUUAACCUGAAAACAUCAAUAAAAAAUAGAAAAGAAAAUUAUCCACCAAAAUAAAGGAAAAGACAAAAAGGUUAAGUAAAUAAAACUGCAAAAGAAGUAAUUAUUUAUUUAAAGAAAAAGCAUUGAACCUGAAAAUAAACAAAAAAGAAUAAUUAAAUAAAAUAUAGUAAAUAAUUAAAUUAAUAAACAGAUAAUCCUAUAAAAAAGCAAAUUGAAAACAAAAUUGCCAUUAAGGAUUCCCUAUCGAAUUUCCUCCUAAGCCAUCGCUCUAGCUUCCAAUAUUUGUUCCUCACCCACUGGAGAAACAAAUUAAAUUUCUGAAAAUAAAAAAAAAAAAACAUAGCAAUCAAAUAUCAAAUAAAAAAAAAUAUUAUUGAAAAAAUUAAAUGUCAAAAUAUUUUCUUACCGAAAAAUGGACCCUUCGGUGGAUUCUGACCACCCUAGUCCUGGAAGCUAUAAUGUUUUGGCGAGGAUAAUAUACCACGCCUAGAUUGGGCUGAAGAAAGGAAGAAAAUAAUGAAGAAAUAAGAACAAAAUUUCAAUAUAUAAAAAAUAAUAUAUAUGUCAGCUUACCAGCACGUGUGGUCCAUCCCCAAUCAAUUCGAUAGGUUGGACUGGUUCUUGGACAUUGCUUACCAAAUUAUUUGUCCUCCUAAACCAAUGGCGCGGAUUUGACCACUGCAUGCCGGCGAACUAAUAAAAAAUAUUAAAAUAUUAUAAUUUAUGGUUUUAACAAUCAAUUAAAUUAAAACUUACGUUUCUAAAAAAUGCUCUUUCGGUUAAA